UGCCCUAGUAACGGCGAGUGAAGCGGCAACAGCUCAAAUUUGAAAUCUGGCUUCGGCCCGAGUUGUAAUUUGUAGAGGAUGCUUUUGGUGAGGUGCCUUCUGAGUUCCCUGGAACGGGACGCCAGAGAGGGUGAGAGCCCCGUAUAGUCGGCCACCGAUCCUUUGUAAAGCUCCUUCGACGAGUCGAGUAGUUUGGGAAUGCUGCUCAAAAUGGGAGGUAUAUCUCUUCUAAAGCUAAAUAUUGGCCAGAGACCGAUAGCGCACAAGUAGAGUGAUCGAAAGAUGAAAAGCACUUUGAAAAGAGGGUUAAAUAGCACGUGAAAUUGUUGAAAGGGAAGCGCUUGUGACCAGACUUGCGCCGGGCUGAUCAUCCAGUGUUCUCACUGGUGCACUCGACCCGGCUCAGGCCAGCGUCGGUUCUCGUAGGGGGAUAAAAGCUUUGGGAACGUGGCACCUUCGGGUGUGUUAUAGCCCGCUGCUUAAUGCCCUUAUGGGGACCGAGGUUCGCGCUCUGCAAGGACGCUGGCAUAAUGGUCAUCAGCGACCCGUCUUGAAACACGGACCAAGGAGUCGAGGUUUUGCGCGAGUGUUUGGGUGUAAAACCCGCACGCGUAAUGAAAGUGAACGUAGGUGAGAGCUUCGGCGCAUCAUCGACCGAUCCUGAUGUAUUCGGAUGGAUUUGAGUAAGAGCGUAUAGCCUCGGACCCGAAAGAUGGUGAACUAUGCCUGAAUAGGGUGAAGCCAGAGGAAACUCUGGUGGAGGCUCGCAGCGGUUCUGACGUGCAAAUCGAUCGUCAAAUUUGGGCAUGGGGGGCGAAAGACUAAUCGAACCAUCUAGUAGCUGGUUACCGCCGAAGUUUCCCUCAGGAUAGCAGUGUUGUUCUUCAGUUUUAUGAGGUAAAGCGAAUGAUUAGGGACUCGGGGGCGCUAUAUAGCCUUCAUCCAUUCUCAAACUUUAAAUAUGUAAGAAGCCCUUGUUACU
rnacentral:rRNA from 1 species